GCCGAGAUAGCUCAGUUGGUAGAGCACGCGCCUGAAGAGCGCGGUGUCGCCAGUUCGAAUCUGGCUCUCGGCACCA
rnacentral:tRNA from 2 species